rnacentral:tmRNA from 1 species
GGGGACGACAGGAAUCGACAGUUAUGUUUGUAUUUCGGUCGCGAGUCGAGGUGGCAUCAACCUCGCUAAACAGGUGUCAAAAAUAUUAACUGGCGAACGAAAAGUCGCCCUCGCCGCUUAACCGCGGUGACGUGGCUCUUCCUCUUCCUUCGACAGAAGAA